rnacentral:rRNA from 1 species
UACGUAGGGUGCAAGCGUUGUCCGGAAUUAUUGGGCGUAAAGAGCUCGUAGGCGGUUUGUCGCGUCUGCUGUGAAAACUCGGGGCUUAACUCCGGGCCUGCAGUGGGUACGGGCAGACUAGAGUGCGGUAGGGGAGACUGGAAUUCCCGGUGUAGCGGUGAAAUGCGUAGAUAUCUGGAGGAACACCGGUGGCGAAGGCGGCGUCCUGGACCAACACUGACACUGAGGAGCGAAAGCCAGGGGAGCAAACGGG